AUUGAACGCUGGCGGCAGGCCUAACACAUGCAAGUCGAACGAGUGGCGGACGGGUGAGUAAUGUCUGGGAAACUGCCUGAUGGAGGGGGAUAACUACUGGAACAGGAAGCUACAACCGAAAACAUUAAGAUGGGCCCGAAUGGGAGUAGCUUGUUGGUGGGGUAACGGCUCACCAAGGCGACGAUCCCUAGCUGGUCUGAGAGGAUGACCAGCAAAACUGGAACUGAGACACGGUCCAGACUCCUACGGGAGGCAGCAGUGGGGAAUAUUGCACAAUGGGCGCAAGCCUGAUGCAGCCAUGCCGCGUGUAUGAAGAAGGCCUUCGGGUUGUAAAGUACUUUCAGCGGGGAGGCGUUACCCGCAGAAGAAGCACCGGCUAACUCCGUGCCAGCAGCCGCGGUAAUUC
rnacentral:rRNA from 1 species